CCUGGCCUUGACAUACUAAGAACUUUCCAGAGACGGAUUGGUGCCUUCGGGAACUUAGAUACAGGUGCUGCAUGGCUGUCGUCAGCUCGUGUCGUGAGAUGUUGGGUUAAGUCCGCAACGAGCGCAACCCUUUUCCUAUUUGCCAGCGGGUAAUGCCGGGAACUUUAAGGAUACUGCCAGUGACAAACUGGAGGAAGGCGGGGACGACGUCAAGUCAUCAUGGCCCUUACGGCCAGGGCUACACACGUGCUACAAUGGUCGGUACAAAGGGUUGCUACCUCGCGAGAGGAUGCUAAUCUCAAAAAGCCGAUCGUAGUCCGGAUCGCAGUCUGCAACUCGACUGCGUGAAGUCGGAAUCGCUAGUAAUCGCGGAUCAGAAUGCCGCGGUGAAUACGUUCCCGGGCCUUGUACACACCGCCCGUCACACCAUGGGAGUUUGUUGCACCAGAAGUAGGUAGUCUAACCGCAAGGAGGACGCUUACCACGGUGUGGCCGAUGACUGGGGUGAAGUCGUAACAAGGUAGGCGUAGAUGA
rnacentral:rRNA from 1 species